GAGUUUGAUCCUGGCUCAGGAUGAACGCUGGCGGCGUGCUUAACACAUGCAAGUCGAACGGGAAAUAUUUCAUUGAGACUUCGGUGGAUUUGAUCUAUUUCUAGUGGCGGACGGGUGAGUAACGCGUGGGUAACCUGCCCUGUACAGGGGGAUAACAGUCAGAAAUGGCUGCUAAUACCGCAUAAGCGCACAGAGCUGCAUGGCUCAGUGUGAAAAACUCCGGUGGUAUAAGAUGGACCCGCGUUGGAUUAGCUUGUUGGUGGGGUAACGGCCCACCAAGGCGACGAUCCAUAGCCGGCCUGAGAGGGUGAACGGCCACAUUGGGACUGGGACACGGCCCAGACUCCUACGGGAGGCAGCAGUGGGGAAUAUUGCACAAUGGGGGAAACCCUGAUGCAGCGACGCCGCGUGAAGGAAGAAGUAUCUCGGUAUGUAAACUUCUAUCAGCAGGGAAGAUAGUGACGGUACCUGACUAAGAAGCCCCGGCUAACUACGUGCCAGCAGCCGCGGUAAUACGUAGGGGGCAAGCGUUAUCCGGAUUUACUGGGUGUAAAGGGAGCGUAGACGGUGUGGCAAGUCUGAUGUGAAAGGCAUGGGCUCAACCUGUGGACUGCAUUGGAAACUGUCAUACUUGAGUGCCGGAGGGGUAAGCGGAAUUCCUAGUGUAGCGGUGAAAUGCGUAGAUAUUAGGAGGAACACCAGUGGCGAAGGCGGCUUACUGGACGGUAACUGACGUUGAGGCUCGAAAGCGUGGGGAGCAAACAGGAUUAGAUACCCUGGUAGUCCACGCCGUAAACGAU
rnacentral:rRNA from 1 species